rnacentral:tRNA from 1 species
UGUAGCUCAGCCGUAAAGCACUUGUCUAGCAUACAUGUAACCCUGAGUUCGAUUCCCAGCA